GACGAACGCUGGCGGCGUGCCUAAUACAUGCAAGUAGAACGCUGAAGGAGGAGCUUGCUUCUCCGGAUGAGUUGCGAACGGGUGAGUAACGCGUAGGUAACCUGCCUGGUAGCGGGGGAUAACUAUUGGAAACGAUAGCUAAUACCGCAUAACAGUAGAUAUUGCAUGAUAUCUGCUUGAAAGGUGCAAUUGCAUCACUACCAGAUGGACCUGCGUUGUAUUAGCUAGUUGGUGAGGUAACGGCUCACCAAGGCGACGAUACAUAGCCGACCUGAGAGGGGGAUCGGCCACACUGGAACUUAGACACGGCCCAGACUCCUACGGGAGGCAGCAGUAGGGAAUCUUCGGCAAUGGACGGAAGUCUGACCGAGCAACGCCGCGUGAGUGAAGAAGGUUUUCGGAUCGUAAAGCUCUGUUGUAAGAGGAGAACGAGUGUGGGAGUGGAAAGUUCGCACUGGGACGGUAUCUGACCAGAAAGGGACGGCUACCUACGU
rnacentral:rRNA from 1 species